UCUCCUCACAUUGAUUUUUUUACCCUCACAAUAAAAACUUUCCUAACUUUUCCAAAGUUUCCUAACUAGACACGUUAUAAACGGGCAUGUACCGAUAGCACGUUAUCAAUUAAUAAAAUUUUGUUUUAUGACAAUCAAUUCCAAAUCCUAAUUUUCCUAAUGCAUCGAUCUUUGCCUUUUUUAAGUAGUUAUUUUGAUAGGGAGGGUUUAGCCACGAAAAUCAUCCCUCCAUCGUCGGCUGCAUCCCUCACCCACGUCGCUGUUGCAGGAUCUUCAUCCGUCAUCCUGAGCAAUUGGGGCGGCGAUGCGGGCGAGCUUCACGAUAGUGGGGAGGACCAGGCCGCGGUGAAGGCAGGUCAUGCGCUCCUCACGCUCCACGAACGGAACCUGCGCACGGAGGCGGUAGCGCGGGGUGGCAGCCGGCAAUGAGGCGGCCGCGCUACGUGACGAGCUACGGGUCCCCCUUUGUGAUGUUUUGGCAUCGCUCCUUCAUCGCACAUCCUCAGGCGAUGGCGGUGGUGUCGCUGAUGGCGGCGAGGACAGCAUGUGGCAGCUCCCGAAGCAUGAACACGACCGCACCUCGGGCCUGCCGUCUGCCAAGAUAUGGCUCUGGCCGAUUGACAAUGGAGGUUUGGGAUCCUUCCUCUCAGCACCCACUCCUGGAAGAAUCAGCGGUGCGCCACGCCGAUUGAACCCCGUCGAGAUCACUCGCCAAGAUUGCUAUUCUAAAGUUUAUU